UACGUAGGGGGCGAGCGUUGUCCGGAAUGACUGGGCGUAAAGGGCGCGCAGGCGGCGUGCCUUGUCGGGCGUGAAAGCCCCCGGCUCAACCGGGGCGGGUCGCCCGAGACGGGCAGGCUGGAGGGUGGCAGAGGAGCGUGGAAUACCGGGUGGAGCAGUGAAAUGCGUAGAGACCCGGUGGAACACCGGCGGCGCAGGCGGCGCUCUGGGCCACCCCUGACGCUGAGGCGCGAAGGCCAGGGGAGCGAACGGG
rnacentral:rRNA from 1 species